GGAAGUUGGAGAAGCUUCAGACAUUGAUCUCUCUAGCAAUAAGUUUAAUGGUGAAAUACCCAGUUCAUUGGGAGACCUCAAGAACCUGAAUUAUUUGAAACUAAACAACAAUAGCCUUACUGGAUCCAUUCCAGACACUCUGUCCAAAGUUGAAGGUCUCACACUUGUAGACCUUUCUUUCAACAACUUCAGCAGUUCCGUGCCAAAAAUUGCUGCACGAACUUUCAAGAUAAUUGGCAACCCAUUAAUUUGUGGGCCUAAUUCAGAUAACAACUGUUCUGUGGUCUAUCCCGAGCCUGUUUCCUUCCCGCCAGAUGGUGUCAAAGAUGGGUCAGAAUCAGGGACAAAGAGCCACCGUGUGGCUGUCACUUUUGGCGUGAGCUUUGGUGCUGCCUUUUUAAUUAUAGUAAUCAUUGGAUCAUUUGUUUGGUGGAGAUAUAGACACAACCAGCAAAUUUUCU